rnacentral:rRNA from 1 species
UGGGGAAUUUUGGACAAUGGGCGAAAGCCUGAUCCAGCAAUGCCGCGUGUGUGAAGAAGGCCUUCGGGUUGUAAAGCACUUUUGUCCGGAAAGAAAUCCUUGGCUCUAAUACAGUCGGGGGAUGACGGUACCGGAAGAAUAAGCACCGGCUAACUACGUGCCAGCAGCCGCGGUAAUACGUAGGGUGCAAGCGUUAAUCGGAAUUACUGGGCGUAAAGCGUGCGCAGGCGGUUUGCUAAGACCGAUGUGAAAUCCCCGGGCUCAACCUGGGAACUGCAUUGGUGACUGGCAGGCUAGAGUAUGGCAGAGGGGGGUAGAAUUCCACGUGUAGCAGUGAAAUGCGUAGAGAUGUGGAGGAAUACCGAUGGCGAAGGCAGCCCCCUGGGCCAAUACUGACGCUCAUGCACGAAAGCGUGGGGAGCAAAACAGGAUUAGAUACCCUGGUAGUCCACGCCCUAAACGAUGUCAACUAGUUNUUGGGGAUUCAUUUCUAGUAACGUAGCUAACGCGUGAAGUUGACCGCCUGGGGAGUACGGUCGCAAGAUUAAAACUUAAAGGAAUUGACGGGGUCAUAGCUGUUUCCU